rnacentral:rRNA from 1 species
GACGAACGCUGGCGGCGUGCUUAACACAUGCAAGUCGAACGGAAAGGCCCUUCGGGGUCCUCGAGUGGCGAACGGGUGAGUAACACGUGGGUGAUCUGCCCUGCACUUUGGGAUAAGCCUGGGAAACUGGGUCUAAUACCGGAUAGGACCACGGCAUUCAUGUGCUGUGGUGGAAAGCUUUUGCGGUGUGGGAUGGGCCCGCGGCCUAUCAGCUUGUUGGUGGGGUAAUGGCCUACCAAGGCGACGACGGGUAGCCGGCCUGAGAGGGGGACCGGCCACACUGGGACUGAGAUACGGCCCAGACUCCUACGGGAGGCAGCAGUGGGGAAUAUUGCAGAAUGGGCGCAAGCCUGAUGCAGCGACGCCGCGUGAGGGAUGACGGCCUUCGGGUUGUAAACCUCUUUCGCCAGGGACGAAGCGCAAGUGACGGUACCUGGAGAAGAAGGACCGGCCAACUACGUG